rnacentral:lncRNA from 1 species
AUAAACCAUCAACAGAUUUCUCCAUUUGCUCUUUUCACAAAAUAACUCAAAUCUGCCAUUUCUCACUGCACAUCAUCAAUCGGUAAUUUUAAUAACUUUUGUAAAGUUAUUUCAUUUCAAAAACUUUGUUUUCAAAAAUCCAAUCAUGCAUACAUCUAUUUUUCUGUAAUUUUAUAUAUACUGCUAAAUACAUGAAAAAGAAGAUAGAAAUAGAAGGGAUGGGAAUUGUUGGUGAGCGGAUGCUGGACAGCCGGUGAAGCGCGACAUCGACAACCCCUAUGUUGAUGGCCGCCGGACUGAGGGCGCGAAGCAGCGAGGACAGGGGCGGCGGCGCUGUGGUCUCGACCGCUGCCGUGCCUUGCUGGUCGAGACAGAGGGAGCAGGAGGCGGCGAUGGCAGCCCCGCUGCUGCUGUCGGCCAGGAGGUGAAGGAGAUGAGGGAGGCGGUGACUAGGCGGCGCUGCUGUCGACGUGGGAGCGACGAUGGCGGCCGUUGCUACCGGCCGAAGGAGAGAGGGAGGGGGCUGUAGACACGGGGGUGAGGUCGUUGGAGAGAGAGACGACGCAGAGAGGGAGAGUGAGGGCGAGAGCCGCCAGCUCCGGCGGCGGCGUUGCCGUCUGGUGGCGGCGGAAGGGUGAGACCGAGGGAGAGAAGGAGAGAGGGAGAAAGGGGAAGAAGGGAGCUGCGCAUGGAGCUUGUAUUGUGAAGUAGUGGUGUGUGUGUAAGAUCUUUAAGUUAGGGCAAGAGAGGAGAGUGGGCUUGGGCUUGGGCCUAAGCUAAUUUAUGAAUGGGCUUUUAAAAGUGGGUUAAUAAUGUUUUGGGCUUGAUUUAUUUUUAUUGUGGAUUUGAAAUGAUUAGCCAAUAAAUUAUGGUAGUAAUAAUUCUUAAUAUGAUUUCAAAAUUAUGUAUUAAGUUGAAUUUAUUUUACAAGAAAAUAUUUUAUUAUUUAAAACUAUUAAACCAAUGAUUUCUACAUUAUCUUAUAGAAUAAAUUCAUAAAGUUUAAAUUAUUUUAUAGAUUCAAAUAGGCCCUUAUAUUUUGAAUUUAUCUGACUAG